rnacentral:rRNA from 1 species
ACGAACGCUGGCGGCGUGCUUAACACAUGCAAGUCGAACGAAGAGCGAUGGAAGCUUGCUUCUAUCAAUCUUAGUGGCGAACGGGUGAGUAACGCGUAAUCAACCUGCCCUUCAGAGGGGGACAACAGUUGGAAACGACUGCUAAUACCGCAUACGAUCUGACCUCGGCAUCGAGGAUAGAUGAAAGGUGGCCUCUAUUUAUAAGCUAUCACUGAAGGAGGGGAUUGCGUCUGAUUAGCUAGUUGGAGGGGUAACGGCCCACCAAGGCGAUGAUCAGUAGCCGGGCGGAGAGGAUGAACGGCCACAUUGGGACUGAGACACGGCCCAGACUCCUACGGGAGGCAGCAGUGGGGAAUCUUCCGCAAUGGACGAAAGUCUGACGGAGCAACGCCGCGUGAGUGAUGACUGCCUUCGGGUUGUAAAGCUCUGUUAAUCGGGACGAAAGGCCUUCUUGCGAAUAGUUAGAAGGAUUGACGGUACCGGAAUAGAAAGCCACGGCUAACUACGUG